rnacentral:pre_miRNA from 1 species
UUUGAGAGAUUUCCUCGGCAGUUAACUGCUGCCGGAUUUGAGAAAAUUUCGGCAGUUAACUGCCGAAGAAAAC